rnacentral:rRNA from 1 species
AGGGCACCACCAGGAGUGGAGCCUGCGGCUUAAUUUGACUCAACACGGGAAAACUCACCCGGCCCGGACACUGGAAGGAUUGACAGAUUGAGAGCUCUUUCUUGAUUCAGUGGGUGGUGGUGCAUGGCCGUUCUUAGUUGGUGGAGUGAUUUGUCUGGUUAAUUCCGAUAACGAACGAGACUCUAGCCUACUAAAUAGAUCGUCGGCUUACAAACGCCGGCGAGACUUCUUAGAGGGACAGGCGGUGAUUCAACCGCACGAAACAGAGCAAUAACAGGUCUGUGAUGCCCUUAGAUGUCCGGGGCCACACGCGCGCUACACUGAAGUGAUCAGCGUGCUUUUUCAACCUACUCUGUCAAGAGCGGGGAACCCAAUGAACCUUCUUCGUGAUUGGGAUAGGGGAUUGUAAUUAUUCCCCUUGAACGAGGAAUUCCCAGUAAGCGCGAGUCAUAAGCUCGCGUUGAUUACGUCCCUGCCCUUUGUACACACCGCCCGUCGCUACUACCGAUUGAAUGUUUU